CCUAUGGGAGGCAGCAGGCGCGAAAACUUUGCAAUGCGGGAAACCGUGACAAGGGAACUCUGAGUGCCCGUAAAAUCGGGCUGUCCAUUGGUGUAAAAAACCAGUGAAGAAAGGGCCGGGCAAGACCGGUGCCAGCCGCCGCGGUAAUACCGGCGGCUCGAGUGGUGGCCACUAUUACUGGGCUUAAAGCGUUCGUAGCUGGUUUGUUAAGUCUCUGGGGAAAUCUUCCGGCUUAACCGGAAGGCGUCUCAGGGAUACUGGCAGACUAGGGACCGGGAGAGGUGAGAGGUACUCCAGGGGUAGGAGUGAAAUCCUGUAAUCCUUGGGGGACCACCUGUGGCGAAGGCGUCUCACCAGAACGGCUCCGACAGUGAGGGACGAAAGCUGGGGGAGCAAACCGGAUUAGAUACCCAGGUAGUCC
rnacentral:rRNA from 1 species